rnacentral:lncRNA from 10 species
GCCAUGAUUGUUAAGUUUCCUGAGGCCUCCCCAGCAAUGCAGAACUAAGUUUACGAAGACAAAAGAGGAAUGACGACUCAGCAUAUUGGAGCGUUCCACUUGGCUGGGAGCAGAUAAUGUGUGCAUCCCGAGAGCAGACAGAACCAAGAGCAGGCAAACUUAGAAGACACUCAGCUAAGCACUUGCUGACUUCUUACAGGUUCACCGAUCAG